rnacentral:rRNA from 1 species
UUCCGGGGUUGGGAUCCUGCCGGAGGUCACUGCUAUUGGGAUUCGAUUAAGCCAUGCGAGUCGAGAGGGUUCGGCCCUCGGCUGACGGCUCAGUAACACGUGGAUAAUCUGCCCUUAGGUGGAGGAUACCCUCGGGAAACUGAGAAUAAUACUCCAUAGGUCUAGGAUGCUGGAAUGCACUUAGACUGAAAAUUCCGGUGCCUAAGGAUGAGUCUGCGGACUAUCAGGUUGUAGUCAGGGUAAAGACCUGACUAGCCUAUGACGGAUACGGGUUGUGAGAGCAAUAACACGGAGAUGAUAUCUGAGACACGAUAUCAGGCCCUACGGGGCGCAGCAGGCGCGAAAACUUCACAAUGUGCGAAAGCACGAUGAGGGAAUCCCAAGUGCUUGCACGUAAGUGCAAGCUGUUUCUAUGUCUAAAACACAUAGAGAGUAAGGGCUGGGUAAGACGGGUGCCAGCCGCCGCGGUAAUACCUGCAGCUCAAGUGGUGGCCGCUAUUAUUGGGCCUAAAACGUCCGUAGCCGGUUUAAUAAAUGCCUGGGUAAAUUGUAUAGCUUAACUAUACGAAUUCCGGGUAGACUGAUAAACUUGAGACCGGGGGAAGUUAGAGGUACUCCUGGGGUAGAGGUGAAAUUCUGUAAUCCUAGGGGGACCACCGGUGGCGAAGGCGUCUGACUAAAACGGGUCUGACGGUGAGGGACGAAGCCCUGGGGCGCAAACGGGAUUAGAUACCCCGGUAGUCCAGGGUGUAAACGCUGCUUGCUUGAUGUUAGUCGGGCUUCGAGCCCGAUUAGUGUCGGAGAGAAGUUGUUAAGCAAGCUGCCUGGGAAGUACGGCCGCAAGACUGAAACUUAAAGGAAUUGGCGGGGGAGCACAGCAACGGGUGGAGCGUGCGGUUUAAUUGGAUUCAACGCCGGA